rnacentral:rRNA from 1 species
GAUGAACGCUGGCGGCGUGCCUAAUACAUGCAAGUCGAGCGAACGGACGAGAAGCUUGCUUCUCUGAUGUUAGCGGCGGACGGGUGAGUAACACGUGGAUAACCUACCUAUAAGACUGGGAUAACUUCGGGAAACCGGAGCUAAUACCGGAUGAUAUUUUGAACCGCAUGGUUCAAAAGUGAAAGACGGUCUUGCUGUCACUUAUAGAUGGAUCCGCGCUGCAUUAGCUAGUUGGUAAGGUAACGGCUUACCAAGGCAACGAUGCAUAGCCGACCUUAGAGGGUGAUCGGCCACACUGGAACUGAGACACGGUCCAGACUCCUACGGGAGGCAGCAGUAGGGAAUCUUCCGCAAUGGGCGAAAGCCUGACGGAGCAACGCCGCGUGAGUGAUGAAGGUCUUCGGAUCGUAAAACUCUGUUAUUAGGGAAGAACAUAUGUGUAAGUAACUGUGCACAUCUUGACGGUACCUAAUCAGAAAUCCACGGCUAACUACGUG